rnacentral:misc_RNA from 1 species
AAGUCGUAACAAGGUUUCCGUAGGUAGCAACCUGGCAGGGAAUGGAAUUACAAUUAAAUGAAGUCAUCGAGCCUCACAGCUCUUAUUCUCACCCUUUGUAUACCAAACUUUGUUGCUUUGGCAGCGCCUUUAGGGCCUGCCAGAGGACCGAAACCCUAGAAUCUCUGCCGUCUGAGUAUUAUAUAAUAGUUAAAA